rnacentral:lncRNA from 1 species
AUAAGAAUUAAACGCAAAUUUAUGAUGAUUUGUCAUACACUGAGGAGCUAGAGUUACCAUGGCAAAACAGAGAGAAGCUCUGUGGGAGCCAGUGAUGACUGCUCAACAUUCAACCCAUGAGGAUAAUGAAGAUAAAGUCAACCUCAAAAUACAUAAUCUCCAGAUAGAUUUAUUUUCAUUGCACGUAUAGGUUGAUUAUGUAGCUUUCUUCAAACACAACCUAAUAUCUACUUUCUGUGGAGAAAAAAAAUAAAUAAAAUAUCGCCAUGUAAUAAAAUGACUAC